rnacentral:rRNA from 1 species
UCCGCAGGCGGAUCGGUAAAUAUCUUGUGAAAUCUCAGGGCUCAACCCUGAAAUUGCUCGAUAGACUGCCGAUCUUGAGCGCGCUAGAGGUUACCAGAACCAUAGGUGGAGCGGUGAAAUGCGUAGAUAUCUAUGGGAAUGCCGACGGAGAAGUCAGGUAACUGGGGCGUUGCUGACGCUCAGGGACGAAAGCGUAGGUAGCGAACG